GUGCCCCCCGCUUCGUGUUCUUAUUUGUAAUCCAUUUUUCUUGGAGCAAAUUACAGCUGCUUGAACAUGAGAUUCAUCAAAAGGAGUUAUGAUGGCCUCUGGUUUUGGUGUGGAAUUGUUCGAGAAUCUGAGGUUCUGUAUGGAAGAAUCUAACACUGAAGGAUAAGCUGAACUGGUUCUGGUGAGAAUGAUUUCAUUACUGGAGUUAGAGUUCUGAAUGUGGGAGGAAAGGCAUUGAACAAAGCUUUCAGAAAUGGAGCUUGAAGCUAUGGACCAAGCUGAGUUGAGAAGGAUGAAAAGUAGGGGAAAUAGCUUUGCAUGAGAGGUCUCCAUAUUCAUUUCCUCAGCAUAAAAGAUGUGAAAUGCUCUGAGCUUUACAUACAUACAUAUAUGUGUGCGUGAACUUACAUUCAUUUGAAGUCCAAUGAAGACAAGUCAAUGCCGUAUGCUUCUGUCUUUCUCUUUGUUUUCCUAUCAGUUUGAGGAAAAUUCCACAAGUGACUUGUCAAUAAUUUACAAUACGUAAGGCAAUAAAUAAAAGACGGACAGCUAAACUCUACUUUUCGUAAGACGUUGUUCAAUGAAUUGAAAUGUCAAUUCUCUCAUCUAUGUUAUCUAGUGCAUGGAGGUUUUCAUCAGAAUUCAAAUGAGAUUUGUUUUCUAGUAUAUUGACUAAUGUAUGCUUAUGAAUAUGGAUAUAUACAAUACUGAAUGAAAUUGAAGAAGACUAACAUUCAAAUACUGAUGCUGAUUAUGUAGCUCAAUCUAAUGUUAUAUAUUAUUGUCCGUAAAUAAACAAGAAAACCAUCUAGAACACAGCUGCUUCUGUAUUGUCAUAUGGUACGUCAAGCUUAUUUGUUGGUUAAGGCAGCCAUGGCCAGAUUAUAUCGUCUGCCUCUUCUGCACAUUGGUGGAGAAAAAUGCCUGGAAGAACAGUAAACAUAUGAAAUCGUAUUCUACUUUUGGCCUAUUUAUUGUUUUCUUCUCUCGGCCAAAGCUGAUUAAUUUAUUUUUUAGUCUUAUUUUCCCCUAGUUGUACUUGGGAACACAGGGAUGCUUUGUUCAUUUCUAAAGAAGUUAGAAGGAAUCAAGGAUCAACCAGGAUCUUAACAUAAACAAGUCUCCUAAAAUUGUUUUUGAAAUACUUCAAACCCCAAAUGCUUACUUUUGCAUGCGUAGCUUGUAUUGCCAUCAUUGAUGUUCCUUCUCACGUCAAGAUCCUGUUAUUCAAAUGGACACCUCUUGAGGGCUAAGAAACAUAUUGGUGUCAUGUAUGCAUAUAAACUACGAAGCUGAAGAACAAUGGCAAACUAAAAGGAAAGAAGAUCCUUGAAUGACAUCGGCUCUGGGGAUGACAUUGUAUUGGAUAUAUCAGUAAAUAACUCAUUCCUGCACAAUGGCUUCUGCAAUGUUCAGUUUGUCAAAUACUACAAACUGCUGCAUUCUGAGAGAGUGAUCUGCUUACUUGUUUUAGUAUCUUGUUCUAGGUAAAGCGGGGAAUCAAGGCUUAUGUUGAUAUUGCUAACAAUUCAUUUUCAACUAUAAAUCUGUCCACUGCACAGGAAUAUUCUUUCAUUAUAUUUCCAACCACCACGCCAGAACCAACAUUUAUUUGUAUAUAUCAUUCGAACAGACAUAAUAUGAGCACGUUUGUUACACCACGGGAUGGGAGUCAUGGGACGGGACACACGGUGUUAUAAUAAGAAUAAGAAUUAAAUUCAGUUUACCCCAUGAGGUUUGAGAGUAACUUCAUGUUAAUCCCUAUACUUUCAAUUUCAUCAGUUUACCCCUCAAAUUUUUGAAUUUCCCUCAACCGUGACCAAUGUCUCAUCUUCUGUCCAAAUCAGACGUUAAUUGCUGACGUGGACCCAAUCUCAUGAGUUAAAUUAUGUUUGUACCCGAAGCUUAGAAAAUUUUCAACUUAGUUAGGGAUAAAAAGGAAUGAUUUUUUAAUUUUUUUUUCACUAGUUUUUUUGUUAAAUGACAAUUUUAACCUUAACAAUGGGGCUCGUAUCUAGAAUUAACGAUCAAUUCAAACAAAAUAUAAGAAUUUGGUCACGACAGACAAAAAUUAAAGAGUUCAGGGGGUAAACGGAUGAAAUUAAAAGUGUAGGGAUUAACAUAAAGUUACCCUCAAACCAUAAGAGGGUAAACUGAAUUUAAUUCUAAGAAUAAACCCAUGUUUGGCACAAGGACUGGGUUUAAUGUGCAUACAGAGUCCCUGAUACCACUCCACACCGUCUUCCAUAGCGGUCCCAAAAUUGGUGGAUUCUGCUUGUCUGCUUGGGUAAGCAUUUGCUUGGAUUUGCUUGGAUUCACCGAUUGGUCACACGUCAUUUACGUACAAUCUAAUGGACAAUAAUCAAGAAGUCCAAAACACAAAUCUUACACCACACAUAGCGUAUCUCUCUUCCUGCUGAAGAGAUUGAGAUGGGCAUGGUAUUUGACUAUUUGGCGGUGGUUCGGCGAAUGUUGUAUGAGACUUGAAGUAAUGAGAGACUAGUAUCCGGCGAGAGGUGAGCGUCGCCGGAAGCUUGAGUUAUGACAUUGAAGGCCCAGAAGAAGCAGAUUGGACUGCAAACUAGGCAACCGCGAAUAAAGGAGGACUGGGUUGUUGAUCGAAGGGGAGAUGUGAGUAUCAGGAGAUGAUUAUUGCGAUACUGAAUGGCUGGGUUGCAUAAUGGGGAUCUGAUUUGGGUUUAAUUGAAAUUGGGUGGCCAUUGCUUCGUAUCGAAUCGGACCCGAAAGCUAAAAACCGGAUGACGAUGGUUUUGAUUAUGAUAAUAAUCGUUUACGUAUCUUACAUCCUCAUGGAGAUGCAAGGUAGUUCAUACAUACAAUUGAUGUCAUAUAUCUGAGUUUAUGAGGAUAUGAUCAACAGAGCAAGUGGUUGCAUCUGGAACCAGAAAAGAGAAAGAAAAAAGAGCAAGAGGAAGAGGAUGGAGUUGCCAAAGGCUGAUCUGGUGUGGCAGGGUAACUUUUGUGUUUUGGUCCUCUUUAAUUCGUGUCCAUUGGAUUGCUCAGAGAUGACGUGUCAUCCUGUGAGUGAUGUCCAAGUAGAUCCAAGCAAAUACUUGUCUAAGCAGAUAAGCCGAAUCCAAAAUUGGUGGGUUCGUGGAAACCCUUUGUGUUUUGACGCUGAGUGCAUCUUUAGUAAACUUUUUAUUUUGAUUUUUUAGCUAUUUUAGAGAGCGUGUUUAGUUUUUCUGGAUGUUUUAGGAGCUCCAGCAUAAUAGUCAAACUUGAGCUAUAUUUAGCUAGCGAGAUAAUUUAAAUGAGACUAAUUAUAAUUUAUUACAUUCUUUUAAGAUAUUUUAGGUGAUAUAUAAAUACAUUUAAACUAUUUAAUCUUUAUUUGAAGAAUAAUAUUAAUGUAAUGCUAGAUAAAAUAGAAAACAUUGAUACAUACACAUUUCUAAAGUGACUAGUCAAAAUAAAUUUGACAAAAAUUUAAUUCAAUUAUGGCUAGCAUUGCUAAAGAUGCUCUGAAAACUUAUUUCUCUUCUUCUCCUCGCCUCGGCCUCAUUGAUCUCUCUCAUUCUUCUUUAAAUUUCUUCUCUAAUCGAAUCCUUAUCUUCUCUCAAAUUGGGUUUUUGCAGAUCGUGACUCCAUCUGAGAUUGGAUUUUCGUGAAUUGGGACUCCAUUUCAGAUUGGAGAUUUGCAAAUUGUGACUCCAUCUCAGAUUGGGAAUUCGCAAUCUCGACUCCAUCUCUGAUUUGCUAAGAAUUAUGUUUGAUUUGGUGUAUGGGUGGCUUGAAAUGGUAAGAAUUGAGAUCAUUAUCAUGUUUUUGCUUUUCUGUUUCUUUUUCUUUUCUUUUCUUUUCUUUUUUGGCCUUGUUUGGUUGGCAGGAAACCAUGAUAUGGGAAAUAAAUUAAUUUGGUUUUCCAUUUCAAGAGGUUGAUUGGUUGUACAUAGAGACAAGAAAGGAAACAAAAAAAGAGAUGGAAAUUGACUUCCUCAUAAAACCUGAAUUCAAUUACUUUGUCAAGAGGUGGUAUUCCAAUUCCAUUCCCAUUGUCAAAGCCACAAUUACGAGAAAAUUUUAAGUGCUACGAGAGGACCACAUGGCAGUCUGAUGUGGUCCUACAUUCUAAUCAAAUUUAGAUAUGUGGAUUUUUUACAACUAAAAUUUUAACUAAUAUUUUCUAUUUUUUGUGAAAUGACAUUCAUAGGUAUUUAGCAAGUUCAACCUGGGGUUUAGGGUAUAGGGUUUAGGGUUAGGGUUUAAGGGUUUAGGGAUUAGGGUUUAGUAUUUAAAAAACAACAUAAAACCCAAAAUAGUCUUUGACAAAAUAGCUGAAAUAAUUUUUCAUGAAGAAAAUGCACAUGUCUAAAUUUAAUUGGAAUGUAGAACCACGUCAGACUGUCACAUAGUCCUCCCGUAACAUUGAAAAAUUUCUCCACAAUUACAUAAAUUAUCCUCUAAUAAAUUUUAAUGUUGUGCGUAUUUAGAAAUUAUAAAGGGACAUUAUUGAAAAAUAAAACUUUAUAUUUCAUUAUAAUGACUUACCAAAUAUUACAAUAGGAAUUAAAAUACUUGAUUUCAUCAUUUAAUUUCCAAUAUGUACCAAACAUCCAUAUGGAAAUACCAAAACAUAUUCUAUUCCAUAUCUGUUUUGGAAAGGAAAAUACAUUUAUGUCUCAUUUUUACUUUCUUGCUAACCAAACGGGGCAAAUGUAUCUGUUUAAGGAAAGUUUUGUUCAACAUUAUGAUGUGGUUAGGUAUUUGUUUUUUUAGAUAGAUGUUGAAUGUUGUUAAUUGUUGAUCAUCAGUUUGUUGUAGAAAUUUUUUUCUUUCUUCUGCAUACUUCUUUCUUCUGCAUACUGAAUUAGUCCAAAGCUUUAAAAUAUUACCAAACGUGAGUCAGGCAUCUUAUGGAAAUAAGUUAGGCUUGAGGAAAGCUGGACUCUUGUAGAAGUUAAGCAUGUCUAAGAAAGUCAUGUGUAACAAACGUGCCCUAUAUGAGUUGAUCAUAGAAACAAUACAUCCAACACAUUAUUUACUUGAUCAUUGAAUGCAAAUACACCAUGAUUGAUAAAGGUUUCCCUCAAGCCCUCAGCUCUCUUCACAUAUUGCCAAAUUGAUUCACUUUUUCAAAACUUGAGAAUGGCAACACUGGGUUUCAUUAUUACUAGCCUUUUACCCGUGCAUAUUUGCACGGAAUGACGAUCACGAACACCUAAAAAUAAUCGUGAACAGUUAAAUAAGUUUAACAUAUUAUACAGUUAUACGGCCUACUAACUGAUAGUUUUUUUUUUUUGAAUAACGAGAGCUUGAAUGGCAGACCUCACGCCAUAACCAUUAAUAAAACCUCAGAAUACAAGGGGGGACAUUGUGCCUAAACCCUAUACUAUAACAACCUAAAAUAAUAUAGGUAUGUCUACAAAUUCUAUGCAUUCUAACAAACACCAUUUAACAAAGAAUGCAUUAUUGAUUACUCUAUUUGCUUUAUAAUUUUGACGACAAACUGGAAAAAUACUGCUAAAAAAGAGUCAUAAGUUAUCAUGUCUAUCAGCUUUCUAGCUAUGAUGCCACUAAAAAUUAUCAGUAAUCCUAAAUUUCCUCAUGCCACUAGAUGGUUGCGACAAUUUGACAAAAUAAAGAACUCACCGCCUCAUUACGGCAAACAUGGCACGAUGCGUGCGCUUACCAGAACAUAGCCCACCAGUAUCUAAAAUAACCAGACAAAAACCAAAAAGAGCAACCUACUUGUGACUUAUAAGAAACUGAUGACUUAUUUCAGCUGCUAACCAAACGAAACUAGGAAACUAAAAAACUUGACCAAAAUAAUAAUAAAAACCCAAAUCCAGGCCAAAUCCAGGCCUUGAAGCCCACUGUCGAAUAGAAGCCCACUAGCCCACAAAUUCUGGCCCAAAGCAGCAACUGCACCCCUUUCUCUUUCCCGCCGCCGUGAAGAAGCCGGCGCCGUCCUUGUCCGAUUCCCACCACUCCUCCUGUCGCCCUCCACCUUAUCUCGUGUCCAGAUUGACCCCCACACCAUGUCCACCACAAACCAACUCUCCCCCCGCCGAACUCCGAUCAAGACCACGUACACAUCCACUCCACCUAGGUAGAUCCAAACCCCAAAUAGAAAUUAGAUCGCCGCCAGCAAUCCUCCAUCGACGACUGCUGGACACCGUCCCUCUCCUACCCAGAGUCGCGACCACCCCGAUCUCCCACCACUGAACCGUCACCAUCUCAUACGCCGCUGCCGACUUCAGCCAAAAGAGCCGUCUGGAACCUCCACCCGAUCGCAGCCUCAGCACGCUAGACUCACCCACACAACACACAUCCCAUCCGACCACCCAAAGCCAACGCUGAAGAGGCUGGAGGCCAUCCCCAAAGCCCUGGAGCAGCCGGACAGGCAAAGGAAUGGCCGGCGGCGCGAUCAAACCCGGACAGGCGAGGGUAUUGAGAGAGAGAGAGUUUUUAUUUUUUUUUAUGAUUAUCUAUUUAUUUAAUCAUUUUAAUUUUAUUUGUAAACUUAUUAUUUUAAUUUGUUUCACGAUUAGUUCUCAUUUUAGAUGAUGAGAUGUGUUAAUAAUAACACAAAAAAUGUGUGUUAAUAACACUAGCCUUAAUUAUAAUAACUCUUAUUUUUGUUUGUAUUAAUUGAUUUAUUAAAGAUGAUAAUAAAAGUUCACAAUUUGGUAAACGUUUUAGGAGAGCCUGAUUUUAUAAUAAAGAUUAACAUUGAUUUUAUAGUAAAGAUUAACAUUGAAUGAGAAAUUAAACCGAAGUCCGAUCCUUCUAUUUAUUGUUUGUUUUGGAACCUAAGCCCAUUGGUUGACAUUCUACUACUUUCUACCUGAUGAAAACACUGGGAAGCUUUGCUCAUUCCUAAAGAAGUUGCCAGGAUCAACCAAGGUCUUAACAUGAACAAGUCUCCUAAAGUUGUUCUUGAAGUACUUCGAACCCCAAAUGCUUGCUUGUGCAUAGCUUGUAUUGCCAUCACUGUUCCUACCCAGAUCAAGAUCCCUAUAAUUCAGAUAGGCAGCUCUAGGAGAUUUUGAAACAUACGGUGCCAUGUAUGCAUACAACCUUCUCAUAAACCUAACAUACUUCUGAGUAUCCUUGCCAUCACCCCAAGUAACCAUAUACUGGAUUUUAUAUAUGUUUCCUUGUCGAUGUGGGAAAGCUGUUUCUGAAUCGGAAAUCUCACUCAUUUUUCCUCCAUAUGGUGUCAAUAUCAAAUAGGAUGUGUUUGCUUCAAGCAACCUCUGCCAUAAGCCUUCCAAGCCAGCUUCUGAGAUGGGUUUAGUCACAUAGUCUGAUUUUGCUUUGUAGAAGAGGCUGAAUUGCUGGCGCUUCAGCAAAAUUUCUAAGGAUUCGUGAAUAGAGUAGCCAGCAAAGUCUAAAACAGAUUGAAUCCAACUCAUCUCGGUGCAAUGGCUUCUUUUUAAACUCAACUCUGGGAAAUUGUCCUGCAUCAGUUGGAGAAGUGUCUCAACCGGGCCAAGAAACAAGGAACCGAAUUCAACUGUAAUAGUGUUGCCACCGCUUCCUAUAACUGAAUGUAGAAAAAGUUCUUCAGGAAGCUUGUCUGCAAUGUUUUGCCAUUUCAAAAGAAGUUUGGUUGCGCCUUGUUCUUUUGUCUUUGAAAUGUCGCAAACUGUUACAGUAGGGGGAACAGGAACCAGUCUAAGUUUCAAUGCUAGAAUGACUCCAAAGCUUGAUCCUCCUCCUCCUCUAAUAGCCCAAAAUAGCCCUUCUCCCAUGGAUUUUCUAUCUAGAAUUCUGCCAUUAACAUCUACAAUUCUGGCAUCAAUGACAUUGUCAGAUGCUAGACCAUAUUUUCGAAAUAUGGUUCCAAAUCCACCUCCACUGAUAUGUCCCCCAACACCAACGGUGGGACAAGACCCUGCUGGAAAGCCAUAGACUUUACUCUUCUGUGCAAUGCUGUAAUACACCUCUCCAAGAGUGGCACCUGAUUUGACCCAAGCACUCUCAUUCUCUAUGUCAACAUCGAUGGAACGAAGAUUGAACAGAUCAAUGAUGAUGAAAGGAGCUCUGGACACAUAAGAUAGGCCCUCGUAAUCGUGCCCCCCGCUUCGGCUUCUUAUUUGUAGGCCAUUUUUCUUGGAGCAAAUUACAGCUGCUUGAACAUGAGAUUCAUCAAAAGGAGUUAUGAUGGCCUCUGGUUUUGGUGUGGAAUUGUUCGAGAAUCUGAGGUUCUGUAUGGAAGAAUCUAACACUGAAGGAUAAGCUGAACUGGUUCUGGUGAGAAUGAUUUCAUUACUGGAGUUAGAGUUCUGAAUAUGGGAGGAAAGGCAUUGCACAAAGCUUUGAGAAAUGGAGCUUGAAGCUAUGGACCAAGCUGAGUUUAGAAGGAUGAAAAGUAGAGGAAAUAGCUUUGCAUGAGAG
rnacentral:lncRNA from 1 species